rnacentral:lncRNA from 1 species
UUUGUAGAGAUGAGGUCUCUCUAUGUUGUCCCGGCUGGCCUCAAGUGAUCUUCCUGCCUUGGCCUCCCAAAGUGCUGGGAUCACAGGCAUGAACCACACCCAGCUCAAUACUAAAAUCAAUAACCAAACAUUGAGAGCUGGCCUUGUGCCAAGCACUGUCAGACUGUUUACACAUAUUAUUCUAUUUAAUCAUCAUGAGAAACCCAUGACAUAGGAGCUCAUAUUAUCUUCAUUUCCUGAUGAGGAAACCUAGAUUUCCAAGACUUCAUAUCACAGUGCUCAUAAGAGUAGAUCCUGGAUUCAAGGUCUUACUGCUCCUGAAGCCUGUUUAUUUAUCCACAGGAUACUCUCCUGAUAUACCACGAUGCAGAAUGUCAAGUAGGAAAAGAAGCUGUUGCAUUGGGCAAUUAAGAAGUCAUUGGUGAGAGAAGUUUCAGUCUGAAGUGGAAUCAUAGUAAAUUACAGAAAAAUAGUCUUUGGAGAGAGAAGGAAUCUGGUUAAUCCACAGGCCACACAAUCAUGGUUGAAAAUUAGUGAAUGAGCGAAUGAUGGAUCCAUCUCUUGAAGCAAUACUUGAAUCGCAGAAUUCUUAUAUUGAUAGAAGCAGAAGGAAACCAGAAGUGCUCCAAUUAAAGGCCUCCAUUUUUCAGAUCAGCAGACUAUGAGCCAUGCAUAGGAUCACACACAGUCCCUUUCAGGAAGCUACUCC